GGUCCACCUCUGGUGGUUGCUUUAUAUAAUAUAAAGCCGAUAAAACCUUUUUCGUCGUAGGAGGGUCAAGGGAAUACGAGCAACAGACGCACAGACAUAUCAGAGGACUGUUGCAACACACUGAGGAGUAAAAUAAGAAAUCUGCCCAAGAAGGGGCUCGUGGCUAUUAGCUAGUUGGUGAGGCAAUAGCUUACCAAGGCGAUGCUCAGUAGCUAACCCGAGAGGAUGAUCAGCCAUACUAGGGCUGAGAUGCGGCUCAGACUCCUACGCGAGGCAGCAGUGGGGAACUUUGCUCAAUGGGUAAAAUCCUGACGAAGCAAUGCCGCGUGGAGGUGGAAGGCCUACAUGUCGUCAACACCUGCCGAGCAUGUCCGAACGCGUGUAAUAGGGUGAUGUACAGGCACCCCACAAUCUGUCGAACAGGUGAUGUCC
rfam:Triticum aestivum genome assembly, contig: Triticum_aestivum_CS42_TGACv1_scaffold_576748_7BL